UGGUGUUAACGGACGCGUCUGGUCUUGUUUCAUUUUUUGUAUGACCCGUGCACUGGCACGCGUUCCCGUACAAUUAUGCAUUAUCACAGAACCCAGUAGCUCACUUACUUCGGAAUCCAACUAAAAAAUUGUAUAUUCUGUUAAAUAAGUGGCAGCACCGUAUCGCAGAUUCAACACGACGCUCACUUAUUCACCAACUGCCGCUAUUUUUCCUCUUCCUAUUCUAACUGUCAAAAAGUUCCGGUUUGAGACUUUAGUAAAGCGUAUAAAGUGAAAAAUUUCCGUGCGGUUUGAAUUUAUUUUAUUAUAAAUAUAUUUGUUUUUCGAUCAUAAAUAUAUACCAAUUAAUAUUAAUACAAUUAACACAGCCAUCGCGAUGCCGAUAAGCCAAAACUUCUUCUGCAAAACAAAAACAUAAAGUGACUCUGCUUUCUGCAGCUUAUUCUGACCUUUAUCAACGAAAUGCGUCGCUUGCUGUGCAACAAAUUCAACGCGAUUUAUCGUUUCACUCUGCAAAUAAACAAUUAUGUGAAUAUAAACAAAUUACAAAUACAAAGUUGCAAUUGCCGGUGCUAUGUCGUUGUUGUACGCACCUGUUCCAUUACGAGUGUUUGUAUACGCAGGAAUAAGGCAUGCACAUCUUCAAUGGACUUUUCCAAUUUCUUGAGUUCAUUGAAACGAUCCAUCAAAUCGCGGAGUGUGCGUCGUUCAUUUUCGGUCUCUUCUAGAAUCUGUGGACGAAAGUCGGGUAAAGUGUUGAUGAGAAGUGUUCGCGUAAAGUGUUAGUGUAAAGUCGUCGGUUCGUCGGUUCGUCGGUUCGCGUUACGUGUUAGUGUAAAUCGUGUGUGUGUGUUUGUAAAAUGUAAGCGUUAAGCGUAUGCGUGUAAAAACAGUAUGUUUUCAACUUACAUUGCCAACAAACAGAUUCGUCGUCUUAUUUGCUAUCAGUUCUUCAAUUUCUUCUUCGGUGGAAUUGCAGUUCACUACAUGGAGGUGCUGAUUCUUCAAAUCGUCAGUAGAAUCGCUUUACAAAUUUACAAUUCAUUUCGUAAUUCGGUUGCUAACGAGCGCUCUUUCGUAUUAUGGUCUUGUGAGUGCUAAUGGCAAACGGCAAACAGCAAACAGCAAACAAAUGAAAUCUUUGGCAGUUAAGAAACAAAAGAGCGCCAGCCACCACACUGCAUAUGCCUACCACUCGCUACAAGCUGUUCUACAGAAUUUAAUAAAUAUCUAUGUAUGGAAACUGGAGUAAGGACGCGCAACUAAGUAAUUACAAAUGCAGUGAUAAUAAUUUUGGCUAAUCGUUAAAGGAAGCGCCGCCGCACAGCACAAUGAGUGGAAAUAUGCCGCAUUAGAUAAUGGCGCACUUGCUGCUGCUGGAGAUCUCUCGGCAAUACAAUGGCAACAAUCUCCUUUCUGCGUUUUUUCGUACUUCUUAUUAUAUUCGCAUAACUAAACGCACCAGCAUGCCGUGCUGAUAUCUUCAGCAGUUGGCAAUGUUUUCUGCGAAAUAUAACUUUGCCAGAGCUGUGUUUUCUAACCAAACUAUGAGAGGUCCUAUAUCAAGACACAUACAUUCGCCUGGCAGUUGGCUGUUGUCGUUGGCAAACAAAAAGUGCCCAAUAAAUCAUACAAACUUACGCAUAAAUUUUCUACACACAGUGUCCACCCUCAGCACACCGUCGCCGCCCUGACAUUAUCUGUCAGUUUUCACGGGUUUUGUGCACAAACUUUGCUCACCUAAAUGUCGACAUCUCAAGCAACGGAAUGUGCGUAUUAUUUAUUGUUGCGCUUUGCCACCGUUAGACAUGAACCAGCAGUAUCCUUAAAGGUAAGUCCAUUGUUUGUAAGUCAUUGAUUUGGGUACUUAGAUAAACGAAUAUGUUAAAUUUUCAAAUAUGUUGAAAAAGUUUUGAAUUUAACACCCUCAUCCGGUGGAAAUGCACGA